GAUGAACGCUGGCGGCGUGCUUAAUACAUGCAAGUCGAACGAGGGCACCUUGUAGCAAUACGAGGUGUCCCUAGUGGCGAAUGGGUGCGUAACACGUAGGUGACCUGCCCCGAAGUGUGGAAUAACAGUUCGAAAGGACUGCUAAUACCGCAUGUGGUCCCGGAGGUUAGAGGCCCCGGGUCUAAAGCUGCUCGCAAGAGUGGCGCGUUCGGGGAGGGGCCUGCCGGCCCAUCGAGGUAGUUGGUAGGGUAACGGCCUACCAAGCCAUCGACGGGUAGGGGAUCUGAGAGGAUCGGUCCCCCACACUGGCACUGACAC
rnacentral:rRNA from 1 species